rnacentral:rRNA from 1 species
CCUACGGGUGACAGCAGUGGGGAAUAUUGGACAAUGGGGGGAACCCUGAUCCAGCGACGCCGCGUGAGUGAAGAAGUAUUUCGGUAUGUAAAGCUCUAUCAGCAGGGAAGAAAGAAAUGACGGUACCUGACUAAGAAGCCCCGGCUAACUACGUGCCAGCAGCCGCGGUAAUACGUAGGGGGCAAGCGUUAUCCGGAUUUACUGGGUGUAAAGGGAGCGUAGACGGCGAUGCAAGUCUGAAGUGAAAGGCGGGGGCCCAACCCCCGGACUGCUUUGGAAACUGUAUGGCUGGAGUGCAGGAGAGGUAAGUGGAAUUCCUAGUGUAGCGGUGAAAUGCGUAGAUAUUAGGAGGAACACCAGUGGCGAAGGCGGCUUACUGGACUGCAACUGACGCUCAUGCACGAAAGUGUGGGUAUCGAACAGGAUUAGAUACCCCAGUAGUC